AUUAUAAAUUUAUAUAUAACACUGAGUAAUAAAUCUUAUCGAUAUGCUUGACAAUUAAUACAUUAUUUUUUAUUUUUUCAGCUUACAUUUAUUACAACUUCUUUCUUUUAUCAUUCUUCUUUUGGCUAAACUUUAUAUGUUUUGAUAUUUGACGGACAUUUAGGUAAGCGACAAAAUAUAUCAUAUUAUAUUAAUAUCGAAAGAAAAAGAAAUUCAUAAUAUAUUUGAUUUAUGUCUGGGCUAUCGCAUUUAUGAUUACUGGUAUCUGUGCCAUUAUGGAUUAUGUUCCCAGUAUAUCAAAAGACUUGAUCCGAUCGGAAAUGUGCAAAAGAAGAUUUUGGUUUGGUUGGGAAAAGACAAAGUUAUUGUAUUUUAUCGUACCCAACCAGUAUUUCUGUUAUUAUCAACAUUUAUUUUUUCAUUACAAUACUGGUAAUUACGUAUAAGACAAGAUAUACGAUUCAUCAACUGAAAAAUAUGGAGAAUAGGUGCUACUUUAAAACCAUGGAGAGGUUUCAUUUAUUCGUGAAGUUGUACCUAGUAAUGGGAAUAAAUUUGAUUAUAAGUGCGAUUUUUUACAUAACGAGAAUAUCAAUAAGACUUAAUGCCGACAUGGUAAUAAUAUUCUGGCAUUUCUUCGGUACAAUAAACUCUUUGCUGGGCUUCUUUAUUUUUAUCAUAUUUAUCUGUAAAAAAGAAAUCAUGCGGCAACUCUUAGAAAGGUUGACAGAACUGCGAUUUUGCAAAAUUACGAUUUCGCGAGAUUCCAAUGAGAAACAAUAAUGUAAUUUUGAAUACUAUCUCUUUACAUCAAGAUUGGCAAUGAAAAUUUCGCUACAUCUAAGUAAUCAUUUUGUAUUGUAAAAUACAAAAGAAUCUUUCACGUAAUAUUAAAAUUAUUAUUAUUAAGAACAUAUAAAAGUUAUUUUUAUUAAAAAGCUAUUAAAAGCUAGAUAUAAUGGUAAUAUGUUAUUGCUUAAUAAGCAAAUUUUUAAAAUUAACUAAAAGUAGACAAAAAUUAAUUG